CAGUCGCCACGGUAAUACGAAGGGUGCAAGCGUUACUCGGAAUUACUGGGCGUAAAGCGCACGUAGGCGGAUCAGAAAGUCAGAGGUGAAAUCCCAGGGCUCAACCUUGGAACUGCCUUUGAAACUCCUGAUCUUGAGGUCGAGAGAGGUGAGUGGAAUUCCGAGUGUAGAGGUGAAAUUCGUAGAUAUUCGGAGGAACACCAGUGGCGAAGGCGGCUCACUGGCUCGAUACUGACGCUGAGGUGCGAAAGCGUGGGGAGCAAACAGGAUUAGAUACCCCGGUAGUCCCUGUCUCUUAUAC
rnacentral:rRNA from 1 species